UGUCAGAACUGUUCUUCGUUUUUUAUGAAUUUGCUUGGCAAUGAAUGAUGCUCUGCUUUCCCGUCUACAGCUAUUAUUUUUAUUUAAUUAAAUGAUUAAAUUAAAUUAAUUAAAUACAUUUAACACAAUUGAUAGAGAUGGGUGGAUUAUUUUUUAUAUUUGAUGGUGCAGAAAAGGAUUUUCUGUUUCUGCCAAAGCAACUCAAGUCUAUUUUUCUUUAAUUGUGCUUCUAAAUGACAAAUAGCCCUAAAUUUUAUGAAUGCACAUAAUGAUGGUAAUAAAGAACAGCUUUUUUUUUUUUCCAGGUGUUUUGACAUCAUUGAAAAGCUCAGACACUUUCAGAAUUUGUAAAUAACUCAACAUGUCCAAGUCGACCUGGACAUUUUGUGGCCAGUCACAUUUACCAAACAGCACCACUCCUCUCAUUAGGAAGAACAAAGAAAACAACAAUACGUGAAUUAAUAAGCUAAUAUUGUUAUUUCAGGUUGCAUUAUAUAUUAAGUUGUUAUCGAGGGGCAAUUUUCAGUCAUGGAUCAUUUUAGGUGGUUUGUUAAAUGGGUCAACUGGUCCUCAGCCUGAAAAAGUUUGAGAAACACUGAUUUAGUUAAACACAAAAGCAAUUUAGAUUAUUUCAUAAAACAUACUUCAUAACCAGCAACCAGCUCUCCUUUGAUCUUUUUAACUUCAGUUGUCUCUGCAGCAGCAGCAACAUUGAACCCAUCAGGAAAAACAUCAACUGCAUCUCCUUUCCAUUCUCCAUGGCGAUGAUAUAGUAUGAUGAAGACGAAGCGCGCUGUGAACCAGGAACCUGUUUUGCAGUCAAACAUGAAGAUUUCCGUCUAAAAAGGUGAUAAAGCAGAAACGUAAUGAUGGCGACACAAACGAGACUGAAUGCAUGACUGCUUCUUUCCAAGAUGAAGUGAUUAACCAUCAAACAUGAUUCAAACAAAGGAUUUAUUUACAACCAGGAAGUAGUUUCCUUGGUAAUCUUGUUCCUGGAGCAAAUGACUGGAAGUACAGAGGAAAAUUUUCCCAAAAGUUUCCUACUUGAAACAAAUGUGAGAUCAAUGAGGAAAUACCCAAAUUAAAAAUAGUGAGGAAACUUCAAA